AUUUGUAUAGUUUAAUAAACAAAAACAUUUCAUUUUCAUUGAAAAAUUAAAUAAUAAUUAUUUUACAAAUA
rnacentral:tRNA from 1 species